ensembl:lncRNA
GGAGAUAUUAGUGUCAUUGAGCAAAAUAAAUGGUGUCAUGCAUUGUAGGGAAAUCGGAGUUAUCUAUGGCUGUACAGCACAUUAGAAAAAUAUCGGACCUCGACGUUAUUCCUUGAUCAGCUGGGCGGACUUGGAAAGCUUCAUGGAUACAAGCUAAUGCAUCUUAAAUGGUUCCAAACAGGUGGUGACCCAAAAUAGUCAGACGUUUACUUCAUAUUCUAGAUCCUCAUGGACUGUACAUUUGGACCUGGAUCUCUGGAAAGGGGAUUAGUAGCUACCUGAAAUUUCACAUUUGGAAGGAGAGAUGAGCACCUAUCAGAUCCUCCUGCUGUCCUUCACCCCUCGAUGCAGUCUGCUGACCAUCGUUAAUGCCAGGAUGAAGUCCGCCAGCCGAAGUAGGAGCCAUGUUCAUCACCAUGCAACGCUCUACUGAUGAGGUACCACGUUGUCUCCCAUCUACUUUAUAGUGGCCUCAACUGCACCCUAACGCAUAACCUCUGGGUAGCCAGGUGAAUGAAGAGCUUCACCAGAGAUUGAAGAGGAAGCGAGACAUCCCACUCCCUAUUUUUUUCUGUUUCAAUUGAAGUCAAUGAACUAAGUAGACCUGACCCAGCUGCUAUCGCAUUGGGUGUCAAUGGGCGAGCCACCCCCUUAAGUAGACAAUGGUAAACAGCCUGAGUGAACUAUCUUUGGCUUCACCCCUUGCACAGACGGAGACUGAAACUCCCCCCUCAAUGUAUCCCCAAAGUUGAAGGAAGCCCGCCUGCUUGCUCUGCCCCUCCAGUACUGCUUAUGUAGCCGAUGUGAAAUGGCUAGCUAGUUAGCGCUAGUGGUGUUUUAAUCGGUGACGUCACUUGCUCUGAGAUCUUGAAGUAGAGGUUCACCUUGCUCUGCAAGGGCCGCGGCUUUUGUGGAGCGAUGGGUAACGAUGCUUCGAGGGUGACUGUUGACGUGUGCAGAGCGUCCCUGGUUCGCGCCCAGGUCAG